UGGGUGGGGGGUGCGCAGGCACUCGUGCCGGCGCAGCCUCUCGCAUCAAGGUGUGCUGCAAUCCGGGCGGGCACGGUGGCUGCUCCUUAACCCCCGGCUGGCCGCGGCGCUCCCCGCCCGCCCCGCGCAGCCCCCGCGGCUCCGCGCUGCCUCCGCGCCCCGCGGCACCGCGCUGCGAUGCGCUGCAGCGCCGGGGAUGCGGGCAUGGAGUUGUGCCGGUGCCGGGCGGCGGGGGCGAGUGAGGACUAAUCCCAUCCCUGGGCCUGCUCUCUGUUCCCUUCCUGCAUUAGAGAUUGGCUAUAAGGAGAAGGCUGACGGCUGCAGCAUGAAGCGCAUUAUUACCUUGUGAUUCCAUGACCCUCCUCUAUGCAUCCCUAACUCUCGAAAGCUGAUUCAGCUUUCAGCUAGUGCUCUGGUGAGUCCUCUGCUGCAACAGAAGCUCCUAACUGGUAUGUCUUCUUUUUUUUUCCCCCCCCUCUCUUCUGCUCCCUGUCUUGCCUUUAACCGCUACCAGCUCAGCUUGGUUUAAACACUUUUCCUGGCCAAUGCAGGACUUACCUGCCAAUCCAACUUACCCGGGGACUUAAAUGUGGGCUUCUGCAUACACAAAUGUAUAUGUGUGUGUGUGUGUCUGUGUGGGGAUUUGCUGGAUGUAUGUUUAAUCUGUGGAUCGCUUAGGAAACCUCACCCCCCUCUUUUUUUUGUUCUGCUGUGGCAUACUCCGCAUUCAAAAAAAAAAAAAAAUAAAAAAAAGGAAAACAAAAAACCCACAAAAACUAACAAACUGCAGAGCAAGCAGUGCACUAGAAUAAUCUGAACUGAAAUGUUAGAACUUUGACAUGCAACCGUUCUGCAAGGUUAAACCGGCCUUUAAAUACCUAAUUCAGACACAGGCUGGCUAAUGACACCUGGGGGGAUUGGGGCUUUAUUUAUUUAUUUGCAACAAACUAGUGCUAUAAGCUGAUAUCAGGCAGAGCAAAAGGGUGAGAGGUGGUUAAACUUAGCCUAACUUGCAAUGAUCUCAAUGCUGUAGUGAUUAACUGUUAAAAUGCCGAGAAAUGAGUAUUAAUUACAGGCGCAUGGUUUGUGAACCAUCAGAAAGGGAAUAUGAGGAGGAGGAGAAGUUAGGUUUCCCUGCAAGGGUUUGGAAUUCAGGUUACAUGAAGUGUAGCAUCAAUUGACUGUUAUUGCUUCUGCAACUCAGAGUUGACUGUGGUCAUUAUAUUUUAUAUGCCAGUGGUGGUACCUAUCACAUGAAUAUAUAGACACCAGUUUGGUGAGGUGGAUACUGUGGUGCACACACACACUCAUGCAGAUUUAGGUACGUUUUAUAGCAUGCAUAUGGAUGUUUUAUAUGCAUCUUUAUGCAUAGGUAUAUAAAUGCUCUAUACAAGCAGGUGUAAUGUAUCACCCAGACACAGCCCAUCUCCAGGCUGUGUGGGGAGUGUGGAUACAGGUAGAUGUGUGCCUGUGCCGGAGGGAGUGUGCACUGUGUAAUUGUAUAGGCAGAAAUCCAUGAUUUGUGCUGUCAGUUUAAUUGCUGGGUUCCUCUCGAGCAGAUGGUUGUGUCUGUGGCUCCCAAGGUCUGAGCUCAGUCUCUCUGCCAUGGGCUGUGCUGGGACGAGCAUCUGCCUCCACCUCAGCCCCACUGGUGCGUCCCUUUUCCAGUGCCCAGCCCUACACAGGGGCUGGAUACAAAGUCCCCAAAGGUUUCUGCUGCACAGCUUCAGUUUGACUUUGACACUUGGACCUGAGCAGCACCUUGAGCUUUGGGCAGAGCAGGGAGAUAUUAUACAGCAUGUUGCUUUCCAUCCCUCUCACCCUGAUCCUUCCUCUUUCACCUUCAGGCGGUACCUCAGGCUCUUCCCUGCCCUUUUAUUUGCCCCUUGGCCUCUGCAUGAUCCAGGUCUCCAUCCAUUUUUCUCUCCAGAACAGCCACAGUUUUAUUGCACAUGCUUUUCUGCCAAAAGUAAGUGUAGGAGCUCAGUGAGCCCAAGUGGGUUGAGGACAGUGGCUGAUGUUCACCCACCACUACUCUACUCCUGGUGGUGGCUGGAGGAUGGGAUCCACAGGGUGCCUCUGAUGUUACAUUGAAGGCACCAUCAUGGCCAUUUGUCUGCUCCUCCACCAAAUGGCACAACCCUGGAAAGCACAAGAUUCCACCCAGAACCUCAAAGCAAAUUUAAAUCGCCACGAUGAAUUCUGCUGCUGUGGUUGCAUCAUUGUCUUCAGUUGUAGUAAGGAUUUAUAAGGUCAUUUUUCUAAAGCUCUUCCACAGGGCUUGCUUUAGGUGGCUGGCAGCUGCUGUCCUGCUAGUUUGCAGAAGUUCAGGGCUAUUUAGGACAGCCCAUGUCAAAUGCAUUUGAGGAAAUCAAAUUGGGUACAAGGUGCAGAUGUUUAACAGCCCAAGAAGUCCAGUAGAUGUUCUACUGCUGUCAGUCUGAAGGAAAUUCAAUACCAUGGAGUGCUUGGCUGUGCAACACCCCACCACCAACACUUUGUUUGUGUUGUUUGUUUGGGCUUUUUUUUUUUCUAAUCUGAAUCACUCAGACUUUCCCUCACACACUUCAGCUCUCCCUUUGCUUUAAUUUCACUGCAGUCAUGCAUUACACCAGUGCCACAGCUCCAUCUCUCUUCCCCUUAAUCCAAACUAAAGGUUGAAAUUUGCCUUUAAAUGAGACAAAUAAUGAUGGUUACAAGGGCCAGCAAACUGAUGGAAUGAGGGGGAAGCUGCACAGAGCCAGGACAUGCCAGACAGGCAUGUGCGGGUGUUGCAUGAGGGGUGUGAAGCGAUUUUGGGGCUUGGGGCUGAGCACAGCGGAUUUACACCCGGGCUCCAUGCGGCCUUUGCUCUUCGGUGGUGCUGGAAGUCGAUGGGGCGCGGGGAAAUAUUUGCUCCCCAGCUGGCAGUGAUAUUUUAAAAAGCAGUGAGACGCAUCGAUGCAAUUAGGUAUUCCAAAGUGCUUAGUUUGCCACUUGCUAAGUUUACUUAAACCCUCCUUAAAGGGUUCAUUAGAAGACCGCGAGGAACGGUAAAAUUCAUUAACACGGAGGCAGCCAUUGCACAUUUGCCUGUAAAUUGGUAUCGAUCGGGCGCAGGUGAGGAGGCACCGUGCCCGCCCUGCUGAGCGAGCAGCCAGCGCCCGGCGUGACCUCCGCCGCGCUCCUGCCUAAAUCCUGCCCAUUGUAGCCUCCCAUUCAGCCCGGGCGGCCAGCGCAGCCCUGCCACUCGGCCCACAUUGUCCAGAGAGCUUUAAAGCUCAGCACGGCUGCGAGGGAGGCGAGGCAGAGGGGCAGAGGCAGGAGCAGGAGCAGGAGCGGAGCUGCGUGCGGGACCGAGCAUCACCGGGCACUGCGCGGUGCCGGCCGGGGCGCGCAUCCCACGGGGAUGCGGGGAGAACUCGGCAAGGCUUGGCCCGAGCUCCCAGCACCUCGCUUUGGCUGCCUUUUAUGUCUGCAGGUCUUCCCAAAGCCCCUUAGCAGGCGUGGAGCUCAACCGGAUGAGUUAUUAGAAGCGAUUUUUAAUUAUUUUUUAUGGUUAAUGCCCUGAACGCGCCAAAAGGCAUGUGCUAUCUUUUGGGGGUUGCUUAUCUGUGGGGGUAGUGUCUCGCUCCCAGGGACCAGCAGAGGAAAAAUCAUUGGAUUCACUAGGUAAGAUGCUUUCUUCUUCCUAUGCUUUAAUCUCUACUUACUGAUAAAGCAAUCGCGUGUCUGGGGCUGAUGAGUUCUCUUACUCUGGCGAAUGGAGCAGUCCUUCCCGGUGUGGUUUGUAAAUCAGUAGCUUGCCAUUCGAUUCUUGGCUUUCUGAAAACAAAUUGGCUUUUUGUUUCCAAAUUGUAGGAUGGAGGCAAUUGGGAAUUGAUAGAUAUUUAACUUUCUCCCACAUGGCUUUGUCUGGAAUGAAACCUAUGUGCGUGUACAGCAAAGGCUUUCCUCUAAACCACAUUUUUGUCUUUUUUAAAUGCUGGAAGUUUAUGAUUUAGAAUGAAAAACCUACUUUUUAGGUGGACUGGGAGGCUGGCUUUUACUCUGUGCUGUAUACGUUUCAAAGAGCCCCUGCUAGGGCAGCCACUGGACCUCUGCUGCUUUGUGUCCAGUGAAUUAUGCAGUUCCCCUUCCCAGGACCCAAAAUCCAUCAUCUGCUGAGGGCUCAGCCCAGCAUUACUGGCAAGGAUAGGGAGCUGGGGUGUGUGUCUGUCUGCACAUAGGCUGGGCAGGAGGAAAGUCUGCUGGUUUGAACUGAGCCGUAACUCACUCUCAGGAUGUAAAUUGUAAAUCAGCGUUAUUUUUCCUCCUGUGACCAUAUAAAUGCGCAUAUUGAAACUACCUGCUUGAGAGACAUACUUCUUUAUAUGCCCAUAUGAACCUGGCAAGCUAUGGAAUGUAAAGAAGUAUGUAUUUCAGGUGGGAAUCCUUCUCAGAGGAGCAAUGUGUGACCCCGGGCAAGGCGGGGGAGAAAGACAGACAGAUUAUUUUAUAUUAUUAUUUUUUUUAACUGCCUGACCCGGCAGACUGACUGGGGAGUCAAUUGAUGAUCUUGUUCCAGCGCGUGUAUUGUUCUGUCACUUUGCCUGUGUCAGCAGGUGGAAAUGCUCAUCAGGACAUUAAAUAUUCAAUAUGCUGACUGCGGCAUGGGCUUUGAAAGGCGAUGCCAGAGGAAAGCUGGCUGUCCGCUCCUGGGUUUUAACAGGGAUGCAGGCCAGUCGCUCCCUUCUCCUGCUUCUCCAGCGACCCUUUUUACCCCAAAAAUAAGGCCGGAUAGCAAACAAAGCUGGCUGAUCUUUAAAUCUAGGAACAACAAAAGGAGGUGGAUGGUGGGGGGAGAAGAAGAGAGAGGAAAAGGAGACAACAGUUGUGACUUGGGUGUGUGGUGUUUUAGCUUUAAAUUAGUGUGCAAAUUCCGCUUUUUGAAUCUUUCCCACAUUAAAACUUUUUAUGCUUAAAACUGGUGAGAAGGAGAUCUUCCUUGUCAGUGUGGUGAGCCAUCGAGUCAGUGGAUCACAGCCAAAGCCAAAGGAGUACCCUGAAUAUAGGGGUCUUAAAUACAAAAAUUAGAUCCUUUAAUUCUGGAAGCCUUUUCCUUUGUAACAUUUUCCAAUGUAAAAUAGUUGGCUGUUUUUUCAGGAUCCUACAAUAAUGUGGCAAGAUAAAAGAAAUUUGGUUUAAAGACACAUUUAAUGUUCUGCCUAGGCGGGAGUCACAUCUGAAGGUUUAAAGCUUUCAGCCCCAAAUUUCCUCAUGUUUCUGUAAAAUUGCUAUGAUGUGAAAAGCUGAACUCCUCAAAAAACUGCUCCCCAGUUUUCCAAACUCCAGUUUCCAUCUCUUUGGGGCCGCUGAGGGCAGCAUUUUGGUUUUGAGUGAUUUCCCUGCAAUCACAACCCCAUCUUCGCCUUGCUCACGGGCUCCUCAGGUGUGGUGCCAGGACUUGUCAGGCAGCGGUUAAUCAAGUCUUUCCCAUGGCAGCAUCCUCCUCCAGGCAUGGGAACAGUCGAGGCUCUGAGUUUGGAUUUUGGGGAGUCUUUAUCCGUCUAUUCACAGUGAGUGCCGCCAUCACUUCUUCCAGGUAUGCCGAGAGGGAUCAAACUCAAGCUGGUGCUUGUGAGUAGUGGGUGAGAAAAGGCAGGUUGGGCUGUUGGGGAGAUUUCCUACCUGUAGGAUUUGUGGGGUUUAUCGAGGUGCUUUUUGUUGUUGUUGUUGAUGUUUAAAUUAAACACCACGGCUGAUGGAGUUGUGGGCAGUGCCGACCCCCUUCCCAGCAGAGGAAGAGACUUUGCUUUUUCUGCCAAGUGGCUUUGGGAAGGCUUGGUUUGCACUGGAGGAUGGCUGGUGUGGACAUUAUUCUGUUGGCUUUCUCAGAUGCUCUGGUUGUGCUGGGCCCUGGAAAGCUGGGGUGUUCCUGGCUGGCUGCGGCACUGUCCCUCAGGACCCGGCUGCAGGGAUGCAGCAACCCCUGGGCUCAGCCCCACCAGCAGCCACCCUGCCUGGGGACAAUCCUUGGCCCCCAUGACCCCACAAGCAUUGGUCCUGUGGGUGUCCAGCCCCAUUUUGGGGUCAGACCUAAAUAUGAAACUGGUGGAUGCUGGGAAAUGAGCUGAACCCAGGCAGGAAGGCACUGGUUUCACGUAGGACUGUAAUUCUGCUCUUUUGUAAAUCAGCAAUGUUAACUUGAGUCUCUGGAUGAAAAAUGAGGACAAUUCUCACCAUUCUGCAUAUAACAUAACAUUGUAUCUAAUAUAUAAUUUAUAUAUGAAAUUACCCUCCUUUCUUUGCUGACCCUUUGUCCGACUCCUUCUAAUUUCCCUUCUCCUUCCUUUUUUCAUUUUUCUUUUUUUUCUUUUUUCCUUUUUUUCCUUUUUUCUUUUUUCUAUUUUCUUUUUCUGUUUUUUUUUUCUUCCCCCCUCUCUGUUUUCUUCCCCUUCUCAGCACAGGUUAUACUAAAACCCGUGUGCCACUGCAUGUUGCUCUUUCAAAGGUGUUCGUGGUUUGAUUUACAGCAGAUACCUGCAUUUGUAAUGCAAUUUUUAUCUCCUUCCCCCCGCCUCUCUGAAUUAAUACGCUUGUUAAUCACAUGGAAUUGCUAACUUUAGGAAGUCGCUAAGUGCUCGGAUUUAUUUUUUAUGUAAAUAUUUUCAAAGGUAUAAUUCUGAGCGCUGUCUCGCAGCAUGGCAGCGGAGAUGGCGGGGGAAGCUUUGCCAUGGAUGGUGUCACCUGGGCUUGGACAAUGUUAAAAAUGAAGCGGGUUGGAUGUGGCCCCCCAGGAGCCAUGGUAGCCUUGCUGUUGACACCAAUGGAAGGAGCCGAUGGCUGCAGGCCUUCACCAACCGCUUUGCGCCAUCCUUCUUCUCCAUGGCAGCUCUUCAUCCCUUUUACACCGCUUUGGAUUAAAACUGCGGCCGUUACGUUGCACUGAGCCCGCUGUAUUUUACAGCUAAAUUAAAGCCACUUCUCUUAGGCUUUCUAUAAAUUGGUGAGCAUCUCCUGGCCUUGAGAGCCGUGGCGGGUGUGAUAUGAGGAGCACUCGCGCUGUACCUGCAGCGCUGGGAUGCUCAGGUGCGCCCAUCCGUCCUGCGAGCCGAGUACUGUGCAGUGCCAGGCGCAGAAACAGGAGCUCUGAGAAUUGUAAAAGCCAUAAAUCCAGUGGACCAAAUUAGUUAAAUUUUUCUAUUCUAUGCCUCACAAAAUCCAGCCGUUCUGGAGAUGAAUUCCCCGCAUGUAAGCGGAACUACCGGCAGGUAUAAGAUGGAUAUUUCGCACGUGCACAUGAGAGCACAGGGACAAAUUUGUGCCAUGCGGUUUUCCCUGGCGGGUUUUUCUUUUUUCUGUACUUCUGCGUGUUUGUUACAUUGAUGAUCCAUUAUUACAGUUGUUACUAUUACUUAAUGUUGGAAGACAGGUGGUCCCAUAAAUUCUAGUACUCUCUAUUUUUAUUUAUUUUUUUUUUUAAAAGGGGGGGCAUGUUUGCAAUUCAAGUUUAAUAGUGCAUUCAUCAAGAGCAAUAAAGCAUUUUAUUGCACAAGUAUUUCAAGGGAUGUGCCGGCCCUGGUAAAAGCAUUAGUAAAGGGGUGCAUCAGCAAUCUCAUUUAAAACUGUCGACCCAACGUGAAAAAUGUUGCGUUGAAGAAUAAACUGCUAUUAAGCAUGAUUAGAUUGACCUGCAGGACAGAUAUUUUAGCUGCAGCAGCACAAGUCGAUCAAAGUGAGCAUCGCUUAGAUUGCAAAUUUUUUUUUUUAAUGCCCUAAAUUAAAAAUGAAAGAGCCUCAGAAUAUUUAGGACCAGAGUGUGACUUUGGGGGUGAGAUUUGUGCAUUCAGUUUGAAGCAGUUUGGGAAAGUGGGGAAAGGGGGAAGAGGUAUUAAUUGCUGCCCCUUUAGCAUACAUUGAAAAUAUGUUACUCAGAUCAACCAAUCAAAAAAGAAAUUGUGCUGACUCAGCACUCGGGCUAGUCUGCACGUCCGAUUGCAGAAGAGAUCAGCACUGCACUGCAGUAUCUUUCCCUGCCUUUGACACCAGCCUAGCUGGGCAGGGCUUCCCUUGUGUUUCCCAGGACUGGUUUAGGCCAAGAACAAGAGAAGGCCCUGAAAAGAGGAGGAGAGAGUCAAGGUUGCACGAGCCUCGAGCUGCUAACAAUCCUUUUUAGUCAGUAAGAAGGAGCUUCCAUGCUAGGUUUGCCCUGCCAGAUGCAAGCGGCAUGAAUUGCUUGGGAAUAUAUCUAUUUUUAAAGACUUUCACCACAUCUUGCACUUAGCAGUGACUGUGGGCGAGGGGGUGGUGUGUUCCUAGCAAGAGAAAUAUCCUCGCUCCUCAGCUCUGAUGCCUCCCCGAAAGCCCAGGGCUGAUUUCAGUGCCGCACUGGCGGGUGCCUCCCAGAGAAGAUGCUGGGUUAAAUGUUUGCUGUGUGAUGCUGAAGCUGCUCUUGACCUCAGCCAAGCGGACAGCAAUGCUGAGAGCUGCCUUUCCACUGGGAUGUGGGGGGUCACGCUGAGAGCAGCCCAGCGCUCCAAGGAUGGGAGCCAACAGAGAACAUGGACUCCACUGCUGGCUUGUUGGGGUUGCAAACAAGUUGUGUAGCUUGCUUGCCUCAGUUUCCCUCUGAGGCAAAGUAGGUUUUUGCUGAGGAGUUGUUGAAGCUGUGUUUGCACUGUGAGGCUGAAGGUGGAAGUGGCCAAGGUGGAUGGAGGCAAUGACAUGAGGCCAAGAUUGUCCUGGUUUGGUUGGCAUUGGCUUGCCCAGUUCUACCCGGUGUGUAUUUGGGGAGACGUCACAGCCUGCCUGGACUGUGCCCCUCUGCCCUCGUGCUGUCAUGCAAACACUCAUCUGCAUUCCCCAACCUUGGAACAGGUGUAACGUGUGAGGAAUGGAGGCUGGACCUCCAUGUGCCCAUGGAGCCAUGGAUGCCUGGGGGGUAUCCCAGCAGGAUGAGGGGUGAUGGGGUCUGUGGGGGUGCUCCAGCACUGCGGGCCUGCUUGCUGGUCACCAGUGUGGCCAUGAUCCUGUGUGCUGGGUGACUCUGCCAGCACUGGGCAGGUUAGGCUAUGCCAGGCUUAACCAGCUGUGCAUGCCCAGCUCUGAACACCUUGGUGGGCACCUACAGGUGGAACAGUGUCCCUGUGGGCUGCUCUCUCCUGACCACUGCAGCACCCCGUGAUGCUGUUGAGGUGUUUUUGCUUGCACUGUGUAAGCAGCACCAGCGAGCAUCCCUGGGUUAGUCUGUAUUUUUCCAGAGCAGUCUGUACGGAGCAGCAGCGCUGGUGGAUGACCGCCUUGUGUGCAAGGGGAAGGCUUUCAGACACAGAUAUGUCUUGACUAAAGCAGGAUUUGAUAGUCAAAGGUUUUAGCAGUUGGAACAGUUGCUGGUGGUGCUCAGGAGGCUCAAGGGAAGCAGGUGACUGACAUCUCCAGCAGAUGCAGGGUUUUCCUUUUUUUUUUUUUUUUCUUUUCCUUUUUUUUUUUUCUCCUGAAGCACAGAGCCGUGCCUGCAAAUGCCUUGCCAUGCCCAGAUAUGGCCUGUGCUGGGACCACUGCCUCUAUCUAAAAAAGCCCUGGGCAGACUGAUGAGCCUGGGGGAACUGGGGAACAACUGCUAUAAAUAGUGCUCAUUCUCAGCUGCCCUUCUGGGGGGACAGGAUUAGGUGGCAUCUGGGCAGCCAGGAGGCGUGGGACUCGUGACCACCAACCGCAGAAGUCACCCAGCAGCUGUAAGGAUAGGAGCCAUCCCUGCAAAGACCUUACAUAGGCAAGUCAACCCUGGCAUUUGGGGAGUCGGAUAAAGCCACAGGGGCAGGAAUCCAGUGACCUAAGAGCAAUUGAGAAUAAAGUUCACCACAACGGCCGGGACAGCGCUUCCAAUCUGAGCUGUGACCUGGCAUGGGAGACAGGACUUGGCUUUUGGCUUUUCAAGCAGCUUGGUGCAAGCAAAGGAAGGUGUCAGGAGGGAGAUGGUGACAUGGGAAGCAAAGUGUCACAAGGAGCUGCUGAGAUGAAAAGACUGGUGUUCCCAUCUGGGAGGCUGCGGGUUAAUUUGCUUGUUAAUUUCCUGGCAGCGAGACUAUUGGAAGCUCUGAUUUAAUAUUUGUGUUUACUUUGGGUAAACAAAUUAACAAAAAAAACCCCAAGUCUUAAUAAUUUAAGACACCGACUUGAUUGAAGCUAGCAGAAAGUAAUGAAUCUCAUGAGGUCAUUUCACUCCCACCCUGAGAGGAGAUGGGCACUGCCUGGAGCUCAUGGCCAUGGGGCUGUAGGGUAACUGAUCCCUAAAAGUGAGGGGUGCUUGUAGCUAAGGACUGCAAGAAAGUGAAACAGCUUCUGAAAGAGCAGAGGAAAAGGACUGUAUUGUGCUUUAAUUAAGCUCAACCUUGAGUAUUUGAAGGGAAAUGAUGGAGCAGGGAGUGAGGAAGGUUUGGCCAAAGAGAGGAGGUGGCUGUGCAGGUGAUAAAUGAAAGGGAUGUACUGAAAUGUGUGCAGUGGGAGAUUGGGGAAAAAUCAUGGAGCAACGCUGCAGCUUGUUCCUGAUUGGGAUGGAGACUUGAAUGUGCAGGCAGGUUGAGAUGGGUAUUUAUGUCCAGGCUUUGCCCCUUCUGUCUCUCACGGUAUCAGGACUGUGCUGCACCACUUUGCCUUCUUUAAAUUAAGCCAGCUUUGUCCUAAAGCCUUGUCUUUGAGACAAUAAGAUGCACCCGCUAAAAUCUAUUGUGCCAUUUUUGCAAAGCCCAGCAAAAGUCGCCCGUGCACCGUCCCCUCCCUGUCCUCCACGCUCAUUUAGCCUAUUUGAAACUGAAUUUAUUCCUGGGAAGGUCCCCAUCAAUUUGCCUUGCUCUUUUGUUGACAAGUUUAUUAAAAACCUGGGCAACUACAUAUUAAACUUUUAUCAGUGUCGAGGAAGAAUACGUCCUUUGAGCAGCCACAAAAGUUAUGGAUUGGGGCUUAAUGUUUCUUGUUCCACCAUUUGGCUGAGUCAGCGUAACAAAUAAAAGCUGCCACUUCUUUUUUUUUUCCCUUUCUUGAGAGACAGUUCCCUUAACAGUGUAAGUAACUGUGUCCAGCAAUGCAAAAAAGGUUUCAGGUCUGGGUAAACAUGAGGGUUUUUGUUUCUCUUUGUACCCAUAAUUCUUGAAUAAUUUUAAUAACUAAUAUAAGAAAAUAUGAACCCUGGAGAAAGUUAUUGCUGCUUAGCUCCGAGCCAAUAGUUUUGGUAAAAUAACUAUUACUUUAUAGUGUUUACAUCAAAAAAUUUGCUGCAAAUUAAUAAUUGUACUGCAAGUGAUGUGUUUUCAUCCAGUGUGAGGGCAGGAAGGGGUUGGAGCGAUGUUUGGUUGGGGAUGUCCCUUUGCACCGCUGCAAUAGGGGAUCUUCGCUCUUUUUCUUUAGUCAUAAGAUGAAACAAAGAGGAGGGCAAUAUGUUGCACCAAAGAUGUUAAAAAUAAAGCGUUAGAAUUGCAUAACCUAGUUCCCAUUCUGCCGUGCAGCUGAGUUUUUAGGAGUUGAAAGAAGCCUGAGAAAUAAUUGGUGGGAAGGAGUUUAAAUUGAUAUAACAACAGUCAGGCAGGGGGAAAAAAGUGAGCAUUGGUGGGACUAAGCCACAAUUCUUAAACUCUGCUGGGCAAAUAAAUAAAUAACACAGCAUCUUUCUCUGCCUGUCACCAUGUCCAAGGAUUUUUUAGUUCUUAAACAGGUCUGCUGGCAUAAUUUGUCAAGUCCAACAGGGAGGUUUCCGUGUGACAGCCGAUUGUUUUUCACCAGGCACAGUGGUGCACCAGAGCCAUCCUGCCGGCUCGGAGCAGCUCCAUAAUUAGACAAGAGUUAACAUUCCUGUAUGAGGUGGCUCAUCCCUCCUGCCCAGGGCACGGCACAGCCGCCAGGGCCCAUCCUGCGCCGUGCCCGCGGCUGGCGGGGAGCGUUCCGGACAAAUCCCUCUGCCUCCAGGAGUUUAUCUGCAUCACCAUUUGCUCCAAUUAUAACUAAUUGGACAAAUACUGCAUUUUCAUAGAAUCUAAUUUUCUAUUGAUUUUAACGGGACUGCUGGUGUUUUGUACUAUUAAGUGGUAAUCUCGUAUCAGUUGCUGUUUAAAAACGCUGAGUGCACUCCCCUGUAUGGGAUUAUGCAGUCAGCACAUGUUUUAAAACCUGUUUAAUUGUUAGGUCCGUAAAAUGCACAAACUGUAUUAGGGAGCGGCUUUGUUCUCUUUUGAGAGUGUGAGUAGCACAACAAAAAAAUCCAACUCCACAACUAUUUCCACAGCCGGUUUCAGGAGGUGCAGCUCCCAGAGACCUGCUCAGAGUCUUGUGCUUUGGGAAAAGAGCUUUGGAGGGACCCUCUUGAUCCCACAUGGAGCCAGCUCCCUCCAGGUAACAAUGGAACAGAGCAGGUCCGUGCUUGACUGUUGUUUUUACAGGAGGCCUAGGACCAAAAUUCGGGGUAAGACAGAGAGAAGGUCACUUUAGAUGCUUUGUAUAACAAAGGAAUAAGGUGAUAACUGUAGGGUUUGGAACUUUAUUCUCUGUCAUAGAUAUUGCCGUGUACCUUGGCGAUACACCCAAAUAAAACCAGACUAUCAAAUUAGCCAUUUCAUUUCAGCAAGUACCCCUUGAGGCAGGGUGAAAGCAACAGUCCUCUGGUCAGCACCACUUAAAGAAGAGAAGAUUUAAAGCAAAGAUUUAGGGGAGGAAGGGAGAGGUGGCCUGGCAAAGAGCAUUUCCAGCAAUGCACGGGGAUCGCUGGCUCCGGGAUAUUGGAUAACAACAAUAAUGGUGGAGAAAGCAGAUUAAAGGGGAUGGAAAUGAUGUUUUGGGGCAGUUGAGUCACCCUGGGGUGCUGGUGAGUUUCCUGUCAAGUUGCUGCCUUCACUGCUCAUUAGCAAGAGCCAUGUUGUGUUUGUUGGAGACAGGUGAGUUCAUGAGGGUGUAUAAAUUAAAUAGACACUUUAUUAAGUUCAGGUAAUAGUUUUGGUUUGAAAGACUGAGUGGCUACUGCAAUGUCAGCAACUGCCUUACUGCACAAAGGAACCGAAUGCUUUUUAAUUAAGUCAAAUAAAAUCCAAGCAGAAGGCUCUUGAGCCUUGUCUGGAGUCUACUUUUUGGGUUGAACAUCUUUAAUUUUAGAAAUGUUAAUAAAACACAGUCUACUUUUUCCCUGUAAUAAUGUAAGUUCAAUUAAUAUUUUAUGUCUGUAAGGAAAAGGAUAAAAGCAGCGAGCUUGUAUUUUCUGGUUUACAAAUGGCACAUUGGGCAGAAUCCUGCAACUGUGGCAUUGAUUUAAACAUCCUCACAAAGACACCAUGCAAUAAAGUUGAACCAUCUGCAGUAUAAGUAUGUCUGUUUGGGGGAAAAAAAUAGCAAUGUGAGAGAGUAGACAUUUUCCUGUAUUAUCAAAAGCCACUUCAUUUUGAGGAAAUUUCCUCCAAUUUAGUAAUGUUUGGAUGGAAAUCAAAUAACACAUUAACUUUGGGAAAGGGAAAAAAAAACCUUCCAAAGCUAAUUACAAAGGGAAUGUGCACUUCAUUAAGAUAAAGCUGUAGGAAAUCAAUGUUCUGUAUUGUUGUUUUUUUCCUUUUGAUUGGAUUUUAGAAUGAUAAAUUGUUCAUGCAUUUGAUCUAAAAAUGAUUUGUUUAUUCAGAUGAAGAGCAACAGUACUUUGUCUCAUUUGGCCUUUUAGCUUACAAUGAUAAUGGCUUGGAGGGGCUACUCAUUUCUCAAAAGUGUAUUGGACUGGAAUAGGCAGGAGAUUUCUGGACUCAGAAGGAUGGGCCCCAUGCAAGGGUUUGUUGUAGGCUAAUUCUAUUGCAUGUUGAAUCUUCUGCUUCAUUAAGAAUAUCGACAAAUGCUGAUAAAUUCUUUGGCUUUCCUGUACUGUCUAUAACACAUCUUUAUUAGAAUAUUGAGGCUGAAGUGGAAAGAUCUGCGAUAGAGGAGAUUCUCGUGUUGGGUACUACUGACCCUACUUGCCACAGCACUGGGGGCUUUUGCCCAUUUUCCUGGAUAUAAUCAUGGACAGCAGAGCCAGCAGCCAGGCACAGGCACCACACAAGGGUCACCAGAGCAGGAAAAGCCAGGCAUGUGUUUGUUCUGCUAUUUUGGCCUUGCUUCACCUCUAACCCCUGGCUCUCACUCCACAUGCCCAUGGCUCUCCAGUGCCAUCCCACAGCUCCUGUAGGCUUUGCCAGGUCAGGGUGGCAAGGCCAGGAGCAGGGGGGCACCAGCUCCUCCCACACCUUUCCAAUGCAAGACCCAACUUCAUGAGGAGAUGAUUAGACCUGACUUGGCUUUGGGCACAAACCUGACCGUGCUGGUGUGGGGUGGUCGAGGUUUUGGGCCUGGUUUGGGGUGCUGUUGCAGGCUGCACUUGCAACAUUGGCACAGGCAGGAAGGGAGAGCAGCACCAAUCCCUGCCUGGCUGUUAGGAUUGGCAAACUCUGCUGUCAGUUCUUGCCUGUUGAAUCCCUCCUAUUUCAUAGUGGAGGGCGCCCACAGGCAUUUAGAAAAGAGCCCUGCCUCACUAGAGAGAUCAGGGGCUUCAGACAGCUCAGAUCUCUGACCACAUCUGUAAUCCACCUUGUUAGGGUGGCUGGUACAGCCCCAGAGACCAGCCUGGCAUGCCUGGGCUGGCAGAGACCUGGGCACUCCCAGCUGGGAGGCUGCAAGUCCCUGUGGGUUGCAGCCCUCCCCAGCUUUAUAACGUGGGCUGCUCUUUCUCAGCUGCUGGGAAAGCCUCACCACCAGAGAGACAUCAUUAGUUUUGAUUAAUGGCAUCCAGAAGAGAAAACCUAAUUUUCUAAAAAGGAAAACCUUACCCAUAAUUCACUGCAGAGAAUUUAAACAAAAUGUUAUAGAACAUCCACGCUGAUUCACAUUGAUUUCAAAUACGUUCCAAGGCACUCCCCAAAGCAAAGAAGGGAGGAGUGGGGACUGCUCUGGUCCCCAGCAGAAGAUGCUCGGUGUAACCCCACAGUGCUGCUUUCAAAGGACUGAUCUCAAAUCAACAGGGCUGGGACAGUGCACACAUACCUGUGUGCAGGCUGUGUUUGAGGUGGUGAUGCUCAGGCAGUUUGAUGCACUCUAUCCCAAAAUCCAUGUGCCCAUCAGGACUUAGCUCUGUACAGCCUUGCUCGCUAAUGGCAUUUCCACCUGUACCCAAUCACCAGUAAAUAAUUACUUUCCUUUGCUUCCUGUAAGUUACCAAAGGAUGAAUUUAAUACUUCCAGGUCUGCACUGUCUAAGUUUCCAUUUAGUUCCUUGGCUUGAUUGUCUCUUGUAAAGGUACCUACAGAUAACUUGAUUAAAUUAAUUGUAGAGCUCUUUUUUAAAAGCUAUUCUGUCUCCCUUUUUCUCUCCAUCUCUCUCUCCAUUUAUUUAUAGGCAGCUUAGAGUAACGGGUUUGGGCAGUUAAGUGAUCUGCAGUGCUUACCGUGACAAUGUGAAGCCUGGAGUUCUUCGGGAGAUAAAAUGCUGGCCCACUUGCAAUUUUCCUGCGUGCAGAGGUUCCAAGCACAGGUGCUUUUCCCUGGGAUCAUCUUGCAGCAUGGUGGGCUGCGAGGGAGAGGGGGGGAAAAGUCACCUUUGCCUUCUGACGCAUAUAAAUUCUUUAAAUAGGUUAUGCACAUGGCAAUGUGCAAUAUCUGCGCGUGGCUCCGGGUUAAGAAGGAAAGGCCUGACUUUAUUGGCUCCCACUGCAGAAAUGAUCGGAGCUGCUGUGAUUUUAAAAUUUGAUUUACUGGGUUAUUUUUAGCAGUGGGGUGUUCAUGCUGCAGGGCUCUCCAGGAGAAUUCAACACCCCAGUGUUGAGAUGUGAACCAUCACAGGAGUGACUUGGACAGCAGUGGUGUAGCAGGGACUUGCUUUCCCCAUUUGGGGACAAAUUGCCAGAUUAUGAGAUUGCAAGAAAGUAAAGCUUUUUUUUUUUUUUUUUUUUUUUCUUUCAUUCCUCCCUUUUGUUUCCUUUCCACCACUUUCCUGUUGGUUUCUGGUGAGCAAAUACAACCAUUGCUUGAGCAGGCCUCAAACCUCCUGAAAAUGCUGAUUUUAAUGCCAGAUGAGAAAACACAGGAGGCUUCACAGUAGGGAAGCAAAGUUUGCUAACCUCUAAAAAAAGAUUUCAGGUGUUCCAGUCUUUUCCCUCCCAUUUUUCAAGGAGAGCCCUGAGGGGAGAAGAGUUCUGCAGCCUGAGUUCCUUGGCUGUGGGCUGGGCUGGUUGUAGCAGGCGACAUCUGUGCUGCUGCGUGUUAGGUGUCACUUCAGACACCAAAACACGGGGAUGGAGGAGGACAGCACACCAUAAAACAGUGAAAGGAAAGGGGGAAGGAGGUGAUAAUUAAAGCAUCUGGAUGAAAACAGUAGCUUAACAUUUACUUAUGUCACACUGUAAUAGAACGUGGCUCUCAAAACAGAGCCAACUAUCAAGUUUAAAAACGCUUCAGGCUGAUGGUUACUGCUGCAGACUAUUCCACUGCUGUUCAACCUGCCUCUUUAAUUCAGACUUGCUCUUCAGCUGUAGCCUCUAAGAAGCUUAAAUAAAUCCUGACUGCCUGAAAGUGAAGCCAUUUGAACCAGUGCGGCAUCAGGCAGCAAGUUCAGAAGAGGUCCAGGCAGCUGGGAAAGAAAAGACCCUGAGGAAUUCUCUUCUCUGCUGCCACAGCCCAUGAGGCCAAAUGCUUUGCUAAAGCUGGUAAAAUGGAACCAAAUCAACUGUUCAAUGGAUUUGGUCCCCUUCAACCAGCUGUAGCUGUGCAUUGAUCUCUCAGACGCACCUUGGAGGAUGAAACACUUGAACCCGACCAGGGCGGCUCAGGUAGAAGACAAAUGGCCAUUUGAACACUGCUGAUAAGGAAAUGAUGAUGAUUGGCAUCUACAGAUCUAUCACUCAGGCUCUAAACUGGUGGGCUGAGCCUGAGUCAUUAUGUGGUUGCCAGUCAAUUCUGCCUAAGGGAGACCACUCAGGAUUGAUAAUCUCUAUCAGCCCCUCCAUUGAUCUCAGCUGUAACCCAGUGUGUUCCCACUGCAAAUGCUGUGCAUUUUCAUAUGUGUUUGCUCAUACCCACCCAGGAGCCCCAUGCCUCAGUGUUUCAUCUGCUGCAAGGAAGAAUAAAGGCUUUGAUCUGAA